GAUGAACGCUGGCGGCGUGCUUAAUACAUGCAAGUCGAGCGAACAGACGUGGUUCCUGCUCCUCUCACGUUAGCGGCGGAUAGGUAAGUAACACGUGGAUAACCUCCAUAAAAGGCUGGGAUUACUACGGGAAACCGGAGCGAGUACCGGAUAAUAUAUUGAACCGCAUGGGUCAAUAGCGAAAGACGGGCUUGCUGUCGAUGAUAGAUGGUACCGGGCCGCAUUAGCUUGUUGGUAAGGGAACGGCUUACCACGGCAACGGUGCGUAGCCGACCUGGGAGGGUGUUCGGCGCCACUGGGACAGGGACACCGUCCAGACUCCUACGGGAGGCAGCAGUAGGGAAUCUUCCGCGAUAGGCGAAGGCCUGACGGAGCAACGCCGCGUGGGUGAUGAAGGUCUUCGGAUCGUGAGGCUGUGUUACUAGGGAUGGACAAAUGUGUAAGUAGCAGUGCACAUCUUGACGGUACCUAAUCAGAAAGCCACGGCUAACUACGUG
rnacentral:rRNA from 1 species